GACGAACGCUGGCGGCGUGCUUAACACAUGCAAGUCGAACGGAAAGGCCCUGCUUUUGUGGGGUGCUCGAGUGGCGAACGGGUGAGUAACACGUGAGUAACCUGCCCUUGACUUUGGGAUAACUUCAGGAAACUGGGGCUAAUACCGGAUAGGAGCUCCUGCUGCAUGGUGGGGGUUGGAAAGUUUCGGCGGUUGGGGAUGGACUCGCGGCUUAUCAGCUUGUUGGUGGGGUAGUGGCUUACCAAGGCUUUGACGGGUAGCCGGCCUGAGAGGGUGACCGGCCACAUUGGGACUGAGAUACGGCCCAGACUCCUACGGGAGGCAGCAGUGGGGAAUAUUGCACAAUGGGCGGAAGCCUGAUGCAGCAACGCCGCGUGCGGGAUGACGGCCUUCGGGUUGUAAACCGCUUUCGCCUGUGACGAAGCGUGAGUGACGGUAAUGGGUAAAGAAGCACCGGCUAACUACGUGCCAGCAGCCGCGGUGAUACGUAGGGUGCGAGCGUUGUCCGGAUUUAUUGGGCGUAAAGGGCUCGUAGGUGGUUGAUCGCGUCGGAAGUGUAAUCUUGGGGCUUAACCCUGAGCGUGCUUUCGAUACGGGUUGACUUGAGGAAGGUAGGGGAGAAUGGAAUUCCUGGUGGAGCGGUGGAAUGCGCAGAUAUCAGGAGGAACACCAGUGGCGAAGGCGGUUCUCUGGGCCUUUCCUGACGCUGAGGAGCGAAAGCGUGGGGAGCGAACAGGCUUAGAUACCCUGGUAGUCCACGCUGUAAACGGUGGGUACUAGGUGUGGGGUCCAUUCCACGGGUUCCGUGCCGUAGCUAACGCUUUAAGUACCCCGCCUGGGGAGUACGGCCGCAAGGCUAAAACUCAAAGGAAUUGACGGGGCCCCGCACAAGCGGCGGAGCAUGCGGAUUAAUUCGAUGCAACGCGUAGAACCUUACCUGGGUUUGACAUGGAUCGGGAGUGCUCAGAGAUGGGUGUGCCUCUUUUGGGGUCGGUUCACAGGUGGUGCAUGGCUGUCGUCAGCUCGUGUCGUGAGAUGUUGGGUUAAGUCCCGCAACGAGCGCAACCCUUGUUCACUGUUGCCAGCACGUUAUGGUGGGGACUCAGUGGAGACCGCCGGGGUCAACUCGGAGGAAGGUGGGGAUGACGUCAAGUCAUCAUGCCCCUUAUGUCCAGGGCUUCACGCAUGCUACAAUGGCUGGUACAGAGAGUGGCGAGCCUGUGAGGGUGAGCGAAUCUCGGAAAGCCGGUCUCAGUUCGGAUUGGGGUCUGCAACUCGACCUCAUGAAGUCGGAGUCGCUAGUAAUCGCAGAUCAGCAACGCUGCGGCGAAAAAGUUCCCGGG
rnacentral:rRNA from 1 species